rnacentral:rRNA from 1 species
AGCUGCGUCGAGAUCUUCGCAUGGGCGAAGCCUGACGAUGCGACGCCGUGUGAGCGAAGAAGGCCUUAGGGUCGUAAAGCUCUUUCGCCUGGAAACAAGAGAAGUUGGCUAAUAACCAACUGAUUUGAGGGUACUAGGUAAAGAAGCACCGGCUAACUC